rnacentral:misc_RNA from 1 species
GAGAAACGAUCGCUUCUCCGGCUACCAUCGGAACCGAGAAAAUGGUUAAGAAGCUUGAAAGGUCGGAUUGUGUUACUCCAUUGGUAGUAGAUUUAUCUGAUUCAUCCACCGAUGAAGGAACUCCAUUAAGACCUGUAUUCUGCCUCAAAAAGAGAGAGCAAUUGAAAGAAUUUGAAGAGAAAGAGGAGUGCUUUAUCCUCGAUUUUGAUCCUUAUGAAUCUGUAGAUAUCUCAAAAUUAUCUGUUUCCAACAGUCGUGAUGCUUCUGACCUUUCUGUUCUCGCCGAAAAAGGAGAGGUGGCAUGUCGGGACUUUCCACAUCCAAGGCAUGACUGCGCGAAACAUCCUUUUUGGAAGACACCUCACCAGGAUUACUGUGACAUGUGUUAUUGCUAUGUCUGUGAUGUGGCUGCUCCUUGCAAAUCCUGGAUUGGGAAUUCAGCCCAUUGCCAUGCCAUGAAUAAUGAGGCUUGGAAAGCUCUGAGGAAUGCCCCUAAAAAGUAAUUGAAGAAAAAGUAUUCACAACAUUGCAACUUUGCUAGACUUGUAAAUUUUGUGUAGUGAUGGCUCGGUCGCUGCAGUAUGGUUACGUACCUAGUUAUGAUUUGGGAUAUUAAGUUGGAUAUGAUAUCUGCAUCUCAAAAUUAAGCUAGAUUUUUGUUGGUAUUUUGCUCAAGGUUUCUUUUGUUGCUAAAGUUCU